UUACCUACUUUUAGGGGGGCACUGAACUGUUACGUAUGCGACAGCUCAGAGGGCGACACUAAUUGCCGAAGUGGAUCGGGAGUUCGUAACGUUACAUGUACAAACCCACCUUCGAAUCACGUGAGGGUGUGCCUUGCAUUUGCAGAAACUGUGAGCGGGGUGACAAAAUAUAUCAGAAAGUGCGACGCUGAACUGAUAAGUUCAGCUUGCGAUGAAAUGAGAAACCGUGGUCGAGACAUUGGCAACUGUUAUUCUUGUUACACUGAUUAUUGUAACGGAAAUCCUCUUUAAAAAAUGUCGAAGGAUAUUAAUUGAACUGUGUGCAUAUUUCAAUAAAUUGUAACAUCAGAGACUUAAAUAUAAUUUAUAGGAAAUGA